GAUGAACGCUGGCGGCGUGCCUAAUACAUGCAAGUCGAGCGAACAGACGAGGAGUUUGCUCCUCUGACGUUAGCGGCGGAGGGGUGCGUAACACGUGGAUAACCUACCUAUAAAACUGGGAUAACUUCGGGAAACCGUACCGAAUACCGGAUAAUAUAUUGAACCGGAUGUUUCAAUAGUGAAAGACGGUUUUGCUGUCACUUAUAGAUGGAUCCGCGCCGCUUUAGCAAGUUGGUAAGGUAAAGGCUUACCAAGGCAACGAUGCGUAGCCGACCGGGGAGGGUGACCGGCACACCUGGAACUAAGCCACGGUCCAGACUCCUCGGGGAGGCAGCAGUAGGGAAUCUUCCGCAAUGGGCGAAAGCCUGACGGAGCAACGCCGCGUGAGUGAUGAAGGUCUUCGGAUCUUAAAACUCUGUUAUUAGGGCAAAACAGCUGUGUAAGUAACUAUGCACGUCUUGACGGUACCUAAUCAGAAAGCCACGGCUAACUACGUG
rnacentral:rRNA from 1 species